GUGCAGCCGCAGCCAGCCCCAGAGCCCGGGGCCACACGAGCAGCAAGCAGCAGCAGUGCCGAGGACGCCCUGCUGCCCUCCGGCAUCACUUGCACCCCUCCCUGCCCCUGAGCUCUGCCUCACACCCACCACCCCGGCUCCGCUCUCAGGGCAAACACUGAGGCUGAAGGUGAAACCAGCCCAGCCGUGCAGGCCCGCCGUAGCUUGACACCAAUGCCCUCCAGCACAGCCUGGGAACAGACUAACCCCAGCAGAGAACACAGCGGCUUGAUGCAGGGAUGGCUCACGCUGCAGCCAGCUGGAAGCAGCCAGCAGCUUCAGCUCAACAUGAUCAACCCCCAUAAACACUUCAUUUUCCUUUUCCUUUCUAUUUUUCUUCCAGGCUACCGGUGGAGAGGUCUCAUGUGGCAGGCGGUAUCCAUGUGCAUCAUUCAGAGGCACCAAUCUCAUCAGGGCUCUCUUGACAACCUCUGUGCACUGGGGAGCACUUCUCAAGGUCUGAUGUGUGAAACCUCCUACAGCAGGACUGUGAGUCCAAAGACACAGUGUAACAUGCAGGGGUCUCCCAGAGAAUGUUGGCCCUGGAUUAUCUCAUUACAUAUUUCUUCAAAGGAAGAUGAGUUGCAGCUGGGAAGCUGUUCCACCCUGCCCACACAGCCUGCAGAACACCUGGAAAUAAUAUUACGUGACUGAUCAGUGCUUGUCCUAAUCAAAGCGUGAGUUUCCUUUGGAGUCAGCAGUGAGGAGCCAAGGCCCAGGAACAGGCUGUGAUGUAAGUGGAAGUUGUGCAUUGCACAGCAGACAAAACUUCUGCUUGCCACUCACUGCCCGCUAUCGAGGAAUCUCUGAGCACUGAAUAGAGGCAACCAAUUAAUUCUUCUUUAACUCCUCACUAUUAAUUCACUUACAGAUCAUGCCCCAGGGCAGCUCAGUACUGUUAUCAUCACUGUACUUUUAUCACCACUAACAGCUGAGGCACAGACCAGAGUAGUGAUUGACACCACACUUAUUAGGAAACAAGGGACGGAGCUGGGAAGACAACCCAAGACUCCCAGCUCUGGCAGAAUAUCAAGGUACAGAAACACCUGUAAUGUAUAACACCAUAACUUUUAGAGAGCUUCUUUUACGCUAAGACAAAACAAAGGGUUUGAUAAAAAGAAUUCUCCAUGAAUGCUGAAGCUUUGGUUUGUCUUUGCUACAAUAUCCUAUCCAAAACUCCUUUCAUUCUCUGUAAUAUCCUCCAAGCAGGUUUCCCAUCCUUACAUUGCCUUCCAUCUUUAUUCAUACCCUCUCAUCCUCAAUGAGUUAAAGAUCAGUCAUCCAGUGCUAGCCAGCACCCCAGACUCAAAGGAUUCACUGUUUCCUGGUGUCUCCCAGGCUGCUUGGACUGAAAGAGCCAAGGAUCUAAUUCAGAGGUAUCCACAGAAAAUAUUUUUGUCGCUAGCAUGUUCACAGACUUAUCAUCUGAACAAGAAAAUUAGGAGUCUCUGGAUGCAUUUGCAUCUGUUCACACAGGCAGGUCUGCGUGGAGAUGCUGAUCAAGCGCACAGACCUCUUAUGCUCUCAGCACAGCAAAAGCAAGGUGCCUUCUCUCCUCCCUCAAGGACCCUCAGUCUGGGUCAGGGAACUGGCCCAUGGAUGUUUAGUCUGGAACAGUCUGUGGAACACGAUUUGGUGGUGUUCCCGUGAUAUUUCACACAAUAAGCUUAGGGAGGACAAUGCAGUUGCUUUGUGAGACAUGGUGAUGCUGUGUCUUGUGACACAGCCUAUUAGCAGAUUGGCUAAUGCUGGGUGUGCAGCUGCUUUCUGUCACGGGAAAGACUGAAAGCAGCCAGAAUAUACCUGUGAAUCCUGCUUCUAAUUAUUUAGAGCAAAACACACUCUGCUCCCAGUUUUCCCUCAUCUGUGUACCUUGCACACACAUGAAAAAUAACAGCCAGUAUCCUGAAUAGAAUUUCCCCUUUAUGCCUUACUGAAACCCUGCUCAGUAAGCAGGAUUACAUUUGAAAUAGGCUAUAGUAGAGAUACAAGAAAAGACACAUUCUUUUAAUGAAGAUUCCCACAUUUCUUUUCAUGAAGAAACUUGCUAACCAGCCAAAUUAAUUUUUCUACUUCUGCUUAACCUCAGCUGCCUCUACAGCCCUAUUUAAAACAUUUUGCCUCUUUACAGGAUCUGUCUGGCAGCCCUCCAUCACUGCCUAAUUGUGCUGGGGUGGGAUGUGAAACAGCCUGAUGAGGGAACAUAACAUUUUUCCCUUGAUUUCACCAAAGCAAAGAUUUCCCCUUCUUGCUAAGGGUGGCUUGGUGCUAGCAAGAAUCUCAGCAGUGAGCUUCCUGUGAACUGAUGGGAACAGCCCUUCUCCUGGAGCAAGGAGACAAUAUCUGAGAGCUGUGGAUGGAAAAACGAGGUAGUCAGCUCAUAAAGAAAAUUAACCCAGUGGACAUGAUUUGCCUACAUUCUCCAAGCUGGAGUUCUUUUAUAAGGCUGGCUGCAGAAAGCUCUUAAGGAUAACAACUAAUCCCUGGAUAAGGGUCAAAGUUCUUGCUGGGCAUUAAAACUUGGUGAUGUGAUUAAAGAAAAAGUGAAAACUUGCUGUUCAGAGCAGAACCUCCAGUGAGGAAGCUGCAGGGUGCCAGCACUCUGGUCAGUUCUGAGUGAUCCCAGGACACUGGGGAUGAGGAGCUAAUGGGUUUAGCUCAUGGUACUGGGAUGUCUGGGGUGCCUGAAGGGGAUGUAAAGAUACUUUGGUGUGAAGCAGUGUAACAGCCCUCUGAAAUGGCCCCCAGAUAGGCAGAAGGUUAGUACCCUGGCACAGAGCAUCUGGAACUUCACCUCUUCACCACGUUUCUUGAAGGUCCCCUCUGGAAAAAAAAUACUUAGCAGUUGCUUUAGAUACUCCUGAUUGGAUGUCUGGGGUUUGUGUGUAUUUACAGCCCAAGAGGCAAAUAGAGCUCAAAUGACUUAAAACUAGGUGAGAAACUAAAAUAUCCACUGCAAGACAAGGAUGUAUUUACAACUCCCUUCCAGGUAUAGGAAAGGUCUGAGAUUGACAGCACCAGAAGAUGGGGAGUGGAUUAAAAAUAGGGUGGAACCUGGAUGUAAAGGGAUAUGGCAAGAGCCUGAAGAGCAGAGUUUGAAGCAUGCCUGAGGGGACUCACUGGCAGGAUUCAAAGCUAGGAAGGAAAGUCAUUGCUGCCAAACCACUUGCCCAGCUGAACCUCACAGCACUUUGAAAAUUAAUGUAAUCUAGGAAUGUUUGUCUUCUGAGCUUUUAAGCAUACUUGGGUCAUACUGGAUUUCAUAUCUCCAGGGGCAUGAAAGACCAACGUUUUUUUUGUUUUGCUAAAAGCAGUUACUUUUACACAUCACACUGGUCAUUUGCUAGCACAAGAUUCUCACCAUUGGUCAUCUUGGGCUCCAGCAGGUGCCUCUUCAUCUUCAUAGUCAAUAGCCACAGGAUCUCAUGACUCCCUUGUCUCGAGCAGGGCUCUCUGUGGCAGGGGGAGGCCAAGGGGCUGCCCAGGGAACGUGCAUCUGGUGCUGGCGAGGAUGGAAGUUUGGGACCUUCUGCAAACCCUCACUACCAGGACUCGCUGACUCCCACGGUUCCUUCAGCUGUACUAGGCAAUCCCUAUCUGAUGGUGAGGCAGAAACACAGCUCACCAGAUGACUGAGCAUAGCUACGUGCAGGACCGCACUGCAUCCACUCCGUGGACACCACCACCACUAUCCCAGCACUGGCAGCCACAGCACCCUCCUGACUCUGCAGGACCAAGGAGAAGGUUCUCCUAUGAACUCCCCCAGCUGGCACCUCCAGCAGAAGUGAUUGCAAAUUCCAGAGCAAACUGAGAAAUCCUCCAAAAGGAUUUAGAGAGAUUAGAAAUGAGCAGGAAACAAAAUGAGAUUUAACCUGGGAAAAGAUAAGCUAAUGUAUCUGGGGCAAAUCUGCUUUGCUGUGAGAGGGGACACCCUGGAAAGCAGAGCUGCCAGAAGUGGUUGAAAAAGAAAAACCAUAGAGAGAUGCAUCUAUAGAGAGACAUUAGGAGAUAUGUUCAGAGUCAGCUGCCUCUUCUAUGUUUUUGGAAUGAUUCACCUUUGAGCAUGUUCAGCAGUAGACAACUUUUAAGGGAAAAGGAGUAUUAUUUUUAUAUAUGAAAGGUGUUGGGAUACAAGAAAUAGAGACUAUAGAGACCAGAGCUUGGUGAGCUAACACUAUGGGAUUUAAAGAUCCAUUUUAUGUUACUGGCCAAGAAAUUACUCCAGAGGAAACGUAAUCAGACUCCAUAAUCAUAUGAGGGUCUACGUCAGAGAGAAAGGGAACACACCUACUGACACAUUUGCAAACUUAAGGGUGAAAUUAAGUCAGAAAAGAGAAGGUAAAGAUAACGAUAGAGUCCAGGCAGUGCAACAGGUUAGGCUGUUCAGGACAGCAGCACGUGAUUAACAAGACAAUCUAAACCCACAAGUAGUUCCUCUUGGGAUGUCUCUGAGUCUGUGACUGGUCCCAACAGUUCAGCAAGGGUGUGGAUCACAUUCAGUCCCACAAAGUGACUCACAAAAGUCACAGCCACUUGCACUGAACAUCCAGCCACCCAAGUGGGGUACUGGUGC